rnacentral:rRNA from 1 species
UACAGAGGGUGCGAGCGUUAAUCGGAAUUACUGGGCGUAAAGAGCUCGUAGGCGGUCUGUCGCGUCGGCUGUGAAAUCCCGAGGCUCAACCUCGGGUCUGCAGUCGAUACGGGCAAACUGGAGUGUUGCAGGAGAGACUGGAAUUCCUGGUGUAGCGGUGAAAUGCGCAGAUAUCAGGAGGAACACCGGUGGCGAAGGCGGGUCUCUGGGCAACAACUGACGCUGAGGAGCGAAAGCGUGGGGAGCGAACAGG